CCCAGUGCCUCCUGCCGGCAAACACACGGGAAGUUGGGAGACGUGAGCAGAGGUCCAGGUUUCACAGGGGGAUGCAGUGACAGGACAGGGGGAAUGGCUUUAAACGGAAAGAGGGGAGAUUUAGGUUAGGAAACCUGCAAGGUGAUGCCAUCCAAUUUACCUGCCCUGUUGCAUGUCACCUGGGUGGACAGCCCUACUGCCUGCCGCUGGGGAUGACAGUGCUCCCACAUCUCUUCUAGGUAGUCGGCUGAAUAAAGGCUGCUCAGAUUGCUGUGCCAGCUCAGGUGAAAGGCAAGGCUUGGAGGAGCUGAUGGCAUGUGCUUUGAUCUACAGAUGGAUGUUAAUGAUGUCAAAAGACGAAAUGAAGCAUGUAUUCUAUAAGGCACACUGAGACUGAACUACCUGUGAGCAUCAUGCAUCACCUAUCUUUGCUUUAAGA